rnacentral:rRNA from 1 species
CAAGUCGAACGGUAACAGGUCUUCGGACGCUGACGAGUGGCGAACGGGUGAGUAAUACAUCGGAACGUGCCCAGUCGUGGGGGAUAACUACUCGAAAGAGUAGCUAAUACCGCAUACGAUCUGAGGAUGAAAGCGGGGGACCUUCGGGCCUCGCGCGAUUGGAGCGGCCGAUGGCAGAUUAGGUAGUUGGUGGGAUAAAAGCUUACCAAGCCGACGAUCUGUAGCUGGUCUGAGAGGGCGACCAGCCACACUGGGACUGAGACACGGCCCAGACUCCUACGGGAGGCAGCAGUGGGGAAUUUUGGACAAUGGGCGAAAGCCUGAUCCAGCAAUGCCGCGUGCAGGAUGAAGGCCCUCGGGUUGUAAACUGCUUUUGUACGGAACGAAAAGCCUGGGGCUAAUAUCCCCGGGUCAUGACGGUACCGUAAGAAUAAGCACCGGCUAACUACGUGCCAGCAGCCGCGGUAAUACGUAGGGUGCAAGCGUUAAUCGGAAUUACUGGGCGUAAAGCGUGCGCAGGCGGUUUUGUAAGACAGUGGUGAAAUCCCCGGGCUCAACCUGAGAACUGCCAUUGUGACUGCAAGGCUAGAGUGCGGCAGAGGGGGAUGGAAUUCCGCGUGUAGCAGUGAAAUGCGUAGAUAUGCGGAGGAACACCGAUGGCGAGGCAAUCCCUGGCCUGCACUGACGCUCAUGCACGAAAGCGAGGGGAGCACACAGGAUAGAUACCCUGAUAGUCCACGCCCUACACGAUGUCACUGGUUGUUGGGUCUUAACUGACUC